rnacentral:rRNA from 1 species
UACGGGGGGGAGCAAGCGUUGUUCGGAUUUACUGGGCGUAAAGGGCGCGUAGGCGACGUAACAAGUCACUUGUGAAAUCUCCGGGCUUAACCCGGAGCGGCCAAGUGAUACUGUCGUGCUAGAGUGCGGAAGGGGCUACUGGAAUUCUCGGUGUAGCGGUGAAAUGCGUAGAUAUCGAGAGGAACACCUGCGGCGAAGGCGGGUAGCUGGGCCGACACUGACGCUGAGGCGCGAAAGCCAGGGGAGCGAACGGG